AUGGAUGUUAGCCCAUGAGGUCAAUCCUGUAGCAAUCUAAGGCUUGAGAAAAAUUAAUCUUCUGGAAAAUUCCAAGAAUACAUCUUAGGGAAACUGGCUCUACCUUUAUGACUUGGAUCACACAAGGAUAUGCUUUUCAUCUUGGACUAGAACUGAGAGCCAAUGGAUGUGUUAUCUAAAACUAUCCCAGUGUGUUCACUAUACAGAGGAAGAUUCUGAGAUUCAAGACUCAAGACUGAAGAAGAUCAUUAUUUUUAUUAUUUUAGUCUUAUGCACAAAAUGAUAUCUACUGAAUAAGCAGGUUUUUAAUAGGUGACUUAUAUAUGUUAGCAAAAAUAAACACUUUGUCUUUUAGAUCUAUUCUAGUUUUUCAGUAGCUGUAGACUUAAGUGCUAACUUUUAGCCCAUAGGAUAAGAAGAAACCAAGUCCUAAAAGUAGGCCAGCACCAGGGUUCAGGCCUCUGACUUCAAGCCAAGGGCUCAUCAUCUUGAAUUGCGCACGAAUUUUUACACAGCGCCAAAGGAAACUGCCUGUACUUACUGUUGUAGGUGCUUUGCUGGAUUCAGGAUGCAGACAAGGUCCACGCAUUGUGGUUGGAACAAUGACUAGAUCUUUACCUGGUCCACAGCCCUCCCCAGUCUGGCUGCAACCUCUCAUGAGGCUGAGCUCACCAUGAACCCCUGCUCUAGGCGUCUGCAUAGUGUUCUGUUUGUCCCCGUGACUGUCCACCUCUUCUUUGGCCUGUUGGCAUGCGCUUAUCCUCCAGACCUCAGUCCAAAGCUUUAUUGAAGUAUCAGAGAAUCAUUUUCUUAAGAGAUGGUAAUGGAAUCCAUGCAUUUGAAAUAAAUCAACAGAAAAAAAUGAUUCAGAAGAGAGGGAACUAGCCUAAGGACAACUGUGAUAUUGUGAAAUAUAUAUAUGGGUCUUCAUCCUGUGUCCUGGCAUACCUAAAACCCUUGGAAUAUCCAAAGGCAUGCUUUUCAUGUGCAAAUGAUUGACUGAUGUCUUCAGGAUGGAGCCAAUCACCAGAAAUGUCAAAGCAUAAUUAGAGUGUUGGGACUUUCAGCCAUACCCCACACCCCUGACCUUUGGGGAGGAGAGACGGGCAGAAGGUUAAGUCCAUCAACAAUGGCCAGUGAUGUAAUCAGUCAUGCCUAUGUAAUGAAGCUUCCAUAAAAAUCCCAAAGGACUGGGUCUGGAGAGCUUCUGGAUAUCUGAGCACAUGGAGGUUCCUGGAGGGUGGUGCCUGGGGCAGUCAUGGAAGCAUCUCAUCCCUUCCCACAUGCCUUGCCCUAUGCAUCUCUUCAUCUGUAUCCUUUAAAAUAUCUUUGUAAUAAACUGCUAAGC
ensembl:lncRNA LINC00840 long intergenic non-protein coding RNA 840